AUGGUUGUGGCUCAGUGGUAGAGUGCUUGCCUAGCAUGUGCGAGGCACUGGGUUCAAGUCUCAGCACCAUA
rnacentral:tRNA from 1 species